CUUUUGUGCAGGCAUCUCGCUGUCUGCGCUGGGCACGGAGCGGCGCGCGCGCGCCCGUCUUUCCCUCGGCGGCCCCCGCGGCUCGGACCCGGGCCGGCAGACAGGCCAUCCAUCAUCCGCCCUCCUCCCGCGGAGCGCCGCAGCCGCCGCGGCCAAUCCGGCGGCAGGUGGGGCCGCACCUGCGCGACAGCCCGCCGCUUCCCUCCGCUCCCUUCGCCGCGCCUCGCGUGCUAGCGGUGCCCUUGUGAGCCACUGCGUUCUCCAAGGCCAGAACGGGACAGUUGACGAUGGUCGUACUUCUCCAUGUUCUGAGACCAGUUUAAACAAAAACAAAAACCAGACAACAACCUUGCAAGGGAAAGAAUUCAGAGUAAAUAAACAGUCUUUUUCUGGGAAGUAAAAUAUUUCCCUAAGAUGGAGAAAUUGAGAUGAGAGCUCAUCCACAAGAUUACCCAUCAAUGAGCACCAAUAGCAACCAAAUCCACUAGAAGACUGGGAGCUUUUAAGUCAAGAAACUUACAUCAGUAUCAUCAUUCCAAGAAGCGGUAUCCAAGCUGUUUUAUCGAAAGUGCGCAUGGGAGAAACCCCUUUCUGAGGCACAGACCCUGCAGGCUCUGAAGAAAUAGGAUAGAUUAUUUCAGCUCUCUCAGCUUGGGAAGUGUGUUUGGAAGAGCAUCUUCCUAGCUGCAAUAAUAAACAGCUCCAGCUGCAAGAGCUUUGCUAAACAAGCCUGGGCAAAACCGUUGGAUUCCUUUCCUUUGACCAUCUUAGAUUUCCCCUGCAAGAGGCAAGGCAGGGAGCCUGCCCUGGAAAUGUCCUCCUAGCCCUGCCCUGUGCAGCUCUGCGCUUCCCCAGGAACACACUCCCUCCCCCAGUCCGCCGCCCCACUUUUGUUUUAUUUACGAAUAUGUUG
rnacentral:lncRNA from 10 species